CCAUGCUCUAAUUCCAUUAAGGCUGCAAAAUACAUCCAUUUUGGAAGGAAACUCUCCAUCUCCGUGAAGAGCAGGUUGGUUUUCAGCAGCAGCUGGGUCCUGCCAUCAGCAAAACUGUUGUCAAAACACUCGAGGAGAUCAUGGCAGAGCUGAAAGGAGAAGAGAACGUACACUGUUAGUAAAUGAUCCAUAAACAUCCCCUGCAAAGGACAACUGUACAUUGGAAAUCACCGUUUAGGAGAGAGAAAAACAAACCCCACCGUGCUGAGGGCCCCAGAAAAGUCAUGACCCUUGUUCACACUGAGCUGGUGGUGGCAGCAGCAUGAGAGAUGCGCUGUGGGUGAUGGUUCUCCCGGUGACUCACUCCUGCCCUCAAGCAAAGCACUUAAUGUGGCCAGGGCUCACCUCAAAAAGGGCCAGUGUUGCUUUUCUCGGGGUAAUUCUCCUAAAUUAAUGUCUGAGAGAUGCUUCCAGUUCCUAAAAUAAAAGAUGCCUCCAACGAUUCAGCAUUUGCCAGGGAAAAUCAGAAUUCCUGCAGCUGAUGCAAAAGGAGUUUGAGAUGUGCACUUUCCUUCUGUUCCACGCAGAGAAGCCCCGAGUUUCUCAAUGGAAAGGGACAAUUGAUUAUAUUUUUUUGCAGUUAAUGCUGGAAUCAGAGGAGGAUGGCAGUGAAUUUGUUGUGUUAGAGACACAUUACACCUCUGAUAUUCCCUGCAGUACCACCCUUGGGAGACUCUGAUAAACGAGGGCUUUUUAGCGGCAG